rnacentral:rRNA from 1 species
UACGAAGGGUGCAAGCGUUACUCGGAAUUACUGGGCGUAAAGCGUGCGUAGGUGGUGAGUUAAGUCUGUCGUGAAAGCCCCGGGCUCAACCUGGGAAUGCGAUGGAUACUGGCUCGCUAGAGUGCGGUAGAGGAGAAUGGAAUUCCUGGUGUAGAGGUAAAUUUGUUGAUAUCAGGAGGAACACCUAAGCGAAGGCAAUUCUCUGGUACUCCACUGACGUUGAGGUGCGAGAGCGUGGGAUCAAAGG